rnacentral:pre_miRNA from 17 species
AGGUCUCUCUUGCUAGACCAGAUCUGAGCCUAGGAGCUCUCUGGCUAGUUAAGGAACCCAC